AGAAUAUCGGGUUCCCUUGUAUAGUUAAAAAGAACAUAAUAUUUUCACAUAUGAAAAUAACUUUGGACUGUUAAACUUGAUUAAAAACGCAAUAUAUUUUCAUCUUUGUUUACUAUAUUACUUUUCACUUGGGCUCAGGGAAAGGUGAAGAGGUUCUGGCCUACCAAAACAUUCCCUGGCCUUCACCCUGACUCUUUUUUGUGAAGGACUGUCAGACUCGUAAUGCAGUAUGUUUCCUACCACUUCUUCUGAUCAGAGUUUUCACUGUAGGUGAGAAAUCUGGCCCAGAGUUGACCACCCAGAGCCACAAGGACCAAUGAAAAGCGACCACCCAGAUACUGAUUUUCCACCAGGCUCAAAUCGGAGUUCCGGUAGUAGACUUGCGUUGUCUUGAGACUGUUGAAUGCAGAUCAUCCAUGUAUGCAUUGCAACACGCAAGUACGAAUUCCUGUAUCUUCCGGCUUCCACAGAAAUCUUUUUGUAUAUCGAGUUCUAAGUGCAAUUGUCUAGGGAUUGUGAUUGUUCUGGUGAUCAUUGCUCCUGGAGUGAUGUUGACUCUGCAGGAGGACAUCCAAGAACUCUGCAGAUGGUGGUCUAGAGUGUGUCAUAUGAAUGAGUAUUCAGAUAACCUACAUCAUGGAUUUCUGGUCAACCACUGGAAUCUAUGGACUACCUCAUGCUAUCCUGUAGCCUACAUAUAUUGCCUGUCCUUCGGAAGAAGUAUGUGACAGAUCUUUUUGGGGAGCUCUACACAAAUGUAAAUAAUAGUGGAGGCAUUUUCCAUUUCUGUGACUCUACAAGCAGAUACUUUAGCGCCAACUGUAAAGAAAAAUGGCUCUGAACAUCUAGAAAGCCUCUAAAAAACCUACAACUUGUUCUGUGUUGUAUUUCUGAGUUCUGGGAGAAUGGAAUCAUCUUUUCAAAAUUUGUAGUCUUGCAGAGCCAUGCUGUAACAGAAACGAACUUUUUUGCAUAUUGAAUGUCCAUUGCUGCAUCAGGACUGAAUAAUGCCUCUUCUUGUCGCCCCUAAACAAACGAUUUCUUUUUGAAAUUUUGUAAGAAGAACUUCUAAGCAAGAAGUGGGAAAUACUUCUUUUAUAUUUGAUUUUUUUUUUUAAAAAGUGACAGCUAUGUUAAGCUUCUCAGAGCUUUGAAAAAGCUGGAACUAGAACACGUGAACAGUCACACAUAUAACAUUAUUUCUGCUGUCUACACAAGGAUUUGCCUCUAAAUCACGUUUAUAAGAAGGAAAAAGCAGGAUAUUGAAAUAUAGAUGCAUAAAAAUUAACAAUACACAUUUUCAAAACUUGUGUAUAUUUUUUAUAUACGGAUUCACAGACCUGAAACUUUACAAAAUCCCACCAGCUGAAUAACACUAAGAAUUACAACCCACAUGCCUGCAGUACAGUGAAAUUUCAUGUGUCCAGGACUGCAUUCGUAUAUUAAAUAUUUAAAUGUACAUACAUAUAUAUGCUACGUUGUUGUUUAUUUUUCUCCGGCUAAACUGCACCAAAGACUUUAAAGAAAUCAAGCUAUAGAGUUGCAGAGAACAAAUUCUGCCUACAUCAAUGCGCUAUUUAGCACUGAUGUGCUGCAGAAGGCACAAGAGAAUAUUCUUCCUGCAUCUCCUGAGAAAGCAUCCAUUUGCUAAGUCAUCUCUAAAUGAAGCUUCAGAAUUUAUGAACUUUUAUUAAAGCUGUCUCUGCUUAAUACUGCUUCCACAAUCUG
rnacentral:lncRNA from 1 species